rnacentral:rRNA from 1 species
UACCAGCACCCCGAGUGGUCGGGACGUUUUAUUGGGCCUAAAGCAUCCGGUAGCCGGUUCUACAAGUUCUUCCGUUAAAUCCACCUGCUUAACAGAUGGGCUGCGGAAGAUACUAUGGAGCUAGGAGGCGGGAGAGGCAAGCGGUACUCGAUGGGGUAGGGGUAAAAUCCGUUGAUCCAUUGAAGACCACCAGUGGCGAAGGCGGCUUGCCAGAACGCGCUCGACGGUGAGGGAUGAAAGCUGGGGGGAGCAAACCGG